rnacentral:pre_miRNA from 2 species
UAACGUCAUCACGGUAUUGCUUUGUCUACAUUUGGGGAAAGCAAUGAUAUCAUCACCUUUUCCAAAAGUGUAGACAAAGAAGCACAGAGAUGACGUGUU